GACCGCUGUCGGAGACUCCCCUUUAACCUGGGAGAGAACUUUCACUUUGCUGAAUUGAGAGUCUGAGUUAGCCCAGACGAGCUCCUUACUCCAUUUCAAAUACGCAUUGACUUAAUCCAGCUGGAACACAGCCUGGGACAUGGAGGGGGCUCUGUGGGGCCUUCCAAACUAGAUAAAUGUAAUAACUAAGAGACCUCUCACGAACCCAUCAGCCUCUCCAGGCCCCUAUCGAAACCCAAUAACUCGUGCUCCUGUCUGUGCCCGUCUUCUCUGGUCAGUCAUCUCUGGUUUGAGGGAAGAUACCCUGCCUCUCUGGGGAUAACUGCAGUCUGGAUAUGGAGACCAAGAAUUCCUCAGGAGGAAAGGGGAAGUGAGAGCCCCAGAGAUCAACUCAAGACCAGUUCUGGGGGCUGUGCAAAGACAGAACAACCCUCCAGGGUAGGCAUAUCUACCAUUCGCAAAUGGGGACAAAGAGAUCCCACCAUAACUGACUAACAGGAAAAUAGGCUCAUGGAUUGACAUUAUCACCAUAAACCAGCACUUGGAUAAUUCAGCCUAUCACAGGCCCUGGUACUUGUCCAAAAAAAUUCAACCCAAAGUAAAGAUUUCUAUGGAGGAAAAUGCUAAUGCACAAACAGGACUACUGCUCUAGGAGAUAUUGAUAUGGAAAAUUAUUCAUCCAUUCUGCAACCUCAUGACUCCCAUGAACUUGAGGAUGAUAGAUACAGAGUGGGAUUCAGACAAGUAUUUUUAUAAAUGGAUCUCAAACAGCACCAUAGGCCUUUGAUAAGGUACAUUGGAUUGAGGUGAUUCCAGUCUUAAAUUUCACUAAUUCUAAUGCAUCUGUAAACAAGUCAGAUUUGUAAAUAGUGCCACUGGUUCUAUAAGGAAUAUGACACAUCAACUGGCCUUGUUCAUAAUAAGACUGUUAGGGUGGUAGCCAGUGAGCUGCUUUACUUUUCAUGUAUAGUUCUUUUUAUAGGUUAACAGCUGAUACUCCUCCUUCUUACAAGAACUAACCCAACCAAAUAAAUUUCUAACCAUGAGCAUGCCACAAAUACACUGACCUUAGCAUAACAGCCUGCCCCAGUCAUCAGUUCUGUUGUCAA